rnacentral:rRNA from 1 species
AGGGCACCACCAGGAGUGGAGCCUGCGGCUUAAUUUGACUCAACACGGGGAAACUCACCCGGCCCGGACACCGGAAGGAUUGACAGAUUGAUAGCUCUUUCUUGAUUCGGUGGAUGGUGGUGCAUGGCCGUUCUUAGUUGGUGGAGCGAUCUGUCUGGUUAAUUCCGAUAACGAACGAGACUCUAGCCUAUUAAAUAGACGUCGGGUUCUCUGCACUCGACGGUCUUCUUAGAGGGACAAGGUGCUUUUAGCACCGCGAAACAGAGCAAUAACAGGUCUGUGAUGCCCUUAGAUGUCCGGGGCCGCACGCGCGCUACACUGAAGGAAGCAGCGUGUAACAACUUUAUUCUAACGAACUGGGUAACCCGUGGAACUUCCUUCAUGAUUGGGAUAGGGGUUUGCAAUUGUGCCCCUUGAACGAGGAAUUCCCAGUAAACACUAGUCAUCAGCUAGUGCUGAUUACGUCCCUGCCCUUUGUACACACCGCCCGUCGCUACUACCGAUUGAAUGGCAGAGUGA